UGGGGAAUUUUCGGCAAUGGGCGCAAGCCUGACGGAGCAACGCCGCGUGCGGGGGGACGGCCUGUGGGUUGUAAACCGCUUUUAUCCGGGAAGAAGUUCUGACGGUACCUGAUGAAUCAGCACCGGCUAGCUCUGUGCCAGCAGCCGCGGUAAUACAGAGGGUGCAAACGUUGCUCGGAAUGACUGGGCGUAAAGCGCGCGCAGGUGGCCCGUUAAGUCGGCUGUGAAAUCCCCUGGCUCAACCAGGGAAGUGCAGUCGAUACUGGCGGGCUCGAGUCCCGGAGAGGGUGGUAGAAUUCCCAGUGUAGAGGUGAAAUUCGUAGAUAUUGGGAGGAAUACCGGUGGCGAAGGCGACCGCCUGGACGGGUACUGACACUGAGGCGCGAAAGCGUGGGGAGCAAACAGGAUUAGAUACCCGCGUAGUCC
rnacentral:rRNA from 1 species